GGAGGUGGAGGUGGACCCAGGCCCACCCAGGGGAGGGAGGGACAGCUCUUCCAUAGCAAAUACCUGUGGCUGAGCCAGGAGCAAAGUCUGGCCAGGAGGAGGAGAGACGCAGAAGACCAGGGGCUCCAGCGCACAGAGCCUGUUUCGCCAGCGAUCAGGUCUGAGGCCUGGAUUCCACGAGGCCGGUGCAAGCCAGGAGCCACCCCCACUCCCUCCCCCAGCUCCGUCCGGCCUGGCCCUCUGCAGAAGCCUGAUGCCCACUCUCACCAUGGGAUCCCAGGUAGUGAGGGUGGAUAGCCGAGGGCUACUGGCUGCUGGGUAGCUGACUUCCCUUAGAAGGGCUGCUGCCAUAUGAUCAGGACCCACGCCCCUGACAUCAACCCCUCCCCCGUGUUCCAGAGCACGGAGCAGCCCGGAACUCUGAGGCCUGUGGUUACUGACUGACUGCUCACUAACUUGUUUCUACAUGAAACCACGAAUCGUGCAGGGUUCUAGAGAAACAAAGGGCCCCUGCGUGGAGGCGAGGACCUAAAUCAAAACUGCUAAAGGGUUACCAGGCAUAGUGAGAGGCCUCAGGGGCCAAACCCUCCCUCGGCCUCUCCUUCAAGCCUCAGGAGCUCUGCGGAGUGGGCGUUAUCAUCCCCAUUCUACAGAUAACUAGUUUGAGACUCAGGGCGCUGCCCUGAAGCCUCCGCGGAAGUGGCCAGAGACCAGACCUGGAGAGAAGAGCAGCCCACCAAAGCCCGCCGUGUGCAGUGUGCGCCAAGCCCGUGGCCUCCACUUUAGCUGACUGCGUGCACUGUGGCAGGAGCCUCGAGCCCAGAUCCAAGACAUGAGGAGCCAAAAUCACCUUCCAGGAGAAAGGAGAGACAUCAGGGGGUGCUGAAAGGUGGGGGAAGAUCAGCCCAUGAGAUGUCAGAUUCCCACCACUAACUCUGAUGCUUCUCCAUCUAAGGCAGGUGAAGGGGAAACAGUAUGAGGGCUGUUUGUGUACUGUAACGCACACCCCUCUCUACCACUCUUUGUUUAAAUCCCAAGGCUCACAGGAAGAUCCAAAGGGAGAAAUUCCCGGACUGCAAGAGACCAUCUCAAAAAGAAAGGGCCUGGUUAGAGAAUCAGAAUGGGUGUGAUGGAGGCAAAAGAAAGCACUUGGUCUGAGAGGCAAGAAACCAGGGUAAAUGAGUGCCAAACUGACCUGGGAAAAAGAGGCUCUGAAAUCUUGAUAGAGGUUACAUAGGGAGCAGUGAUUAGCGGUAAGAAGGAUAGAAACAAGGGCCCAGGAUUCUGGGGGUGGGCUUGGGAUUGGAUUAUGUGCAAAAUGAAAAAACAGGAGGAUAAACAGUCACAGGAUUAAACCAGAAUUAGGAGGAACAAUACUCUCCUGCCCACUCCACCACCAACAAAAGAGAACUGAAAAGAUGAAAAGGAAGUGAAAACUGUUGCAGGAAAUGGCCCUCCCAUAAACCAUGCCCAAGAUCCCUGACAUUUUUUACAAUUUGAAAAGAAUUCAUGCCCUUAAAUUAAAAUGAAAACAUCAGUAAAAGUAAAAGCAGGCCAGGUGCGGUGGCUCACGCCUAUAAUCCCAGCAUUUUGGGAGGCCAAGGCAGGUGGAUCACGAGGUCAGGAGUUCGAGACCAGC